GUCGGAUUAGCUAGUUGGUAGGGUAACGGCCUACCAAGGCGACGAUCCGUAGCUGGUCUGAGAGGACGACCAGCCACACUGGGACUGAGACACGGCCCAGACUCCGGGAGGCAGCAGUGUAGGGAAUAUUGGACAAUGGGGGCAACCCUGAUCCAGCGACGCCGCGUGUGUGAAGAAGGCCUGCGGGUUGUAAAGCACUUUUAGUGGGGAUGAAAAGCUCAGGGCUAACACCUCUGAGUCUUGACCUAACCCACAGAAAAAGCACCGGCUAACUCUGUGCCAGCAGCCGCGGUAAUACAGAGGGUGCAAGCGUUAAUCGGAAUUACUGGUAAAGCGUACGUAGACGGUUGGAUAAGUCGGAUGUGAAAGCCCCGGGCUCAACCUGGGAAUUGCAUUCGAGACUGUGCAGCUAGGGUGCGGAAGAGGGAAGCGGAAUUUCCGGUGUAGCGGUGAAAUGCGUAGAUAUCGGAAGGAACACCAGUGGCGAAAGCGGCUUCCUGGUCCAGCACCGACGUUCACGUACGAAAGCAUGGGCUAGAGCA
rnacentral:rRNA from 1 species